AAUCAUGGCUCAGGAUGAACGCUAGCUACAGGCUUAACACAUGCAAGUCGAGGGGCAGCGGGGAGUAGCAAUACUCCGCCGGCGACCGGCGCACGGGUGCGUAACGCGUAUGCAACCUACCUUUAACAGGGGCAUAACACUGAGAAAUUGGUACUAAUUCCCCAUAACAUUCGAGAAGGCAUCUUCUUGGGUUAAAAACUCCGGUGGUUAAAGAUGGGCAUGCGUUGUAUUAGCUAGUUGGUGAGGUAACGG
rnacentral:rRNA from 1 species